GAUGAACGCUAGCUACAGGCUUAACACAUGCAAGUCGAGGGGAAACGGGAGAAUAGCUUGCUAUUCUUUGUCGUCGACCGGCGCACGGGUGAGUAACGCGUAUCCAACCUUCCCAUAACUAAGGAAUACCCCGUAGAAAUGCGGCCUAAUCCCUUAUGGUCUCUUAUGCCUGACAUCGGAAUAAGAGUAAAGAUUUAUCGGUUAUGGAUGGGGAUGCGUCUGAUUAGCUUGCUGGCGGGGUAACGGCCCACCAGGGCAUCGAUCAGUAGGGGUUCUGAGAGGAAGGUCCCCCACAUUGGAACUGAGACACGGUCCAAACUCCUACGGGAGGCAGCAGUGAGGAAUAUUGGUCAAUGGACGGAAGCCUGAACCAGCCAAGUAGCGUGCAGGAUGACGGCCCUAUGGGUUGUAAACUGCUUUUUAAGGGGAAUAAAGAGGGGCACGCGUGCCCUGUUGCAUGUAGCCUUGGAAUAAGGACCGGCUAAUUCCGUGCCAGCAGCCGCGGUAAUACGGAAGGUCCAGGUGUUAUCCGGAUUUAUUGGGUUUAAAGGGAGCGUAGGCCGCAGGUUAAGUGUGUUGUGAAAAGCAGUCGCCCAACGUCUGCCUUGCAGCGCAAACUGUCCUGCUUGAGUGCGCACAACGCAGGCGGAAUUCGUCGUGUAGCGGUGAAAUGCUUAGAUAUGACGAAGAACUCCGAUUGCGAAGGCAGCUUGCGGGAGCGCAACUGACGCUGAAGCUCGAAAGUGCGGGUAUCGAACAGGAUUAGAUACCCUGGUAGUCCGCACGGUAAACGCUGGAUGCCCGUUUUUGGCUUAUUUAAGUCAGAGACCAAGCGAAAGCAUGAAGCAUCCCACCUGGGGAGUACGCCGGCAACGGUGAAACUCAAAGGAAUUGACGGGGGCCCGCACAAGCGGAGGAACAUGUGGUUAAUUCGAUGAUACGCGAGGAACCUUACCCGGGGCUUGAAAUUGC
rnacentral:rRNA from 1 species